rnacentral:rRNA from 1 species
UAACUGAGCGUUCAGUUACUUGACGUAGACCCGAAACCGGGCGACCUACCCAUGAGCAGGAUGAAGCGAAAGUAAAAUUUCGUGGAGGUCCGAACCCACGAGCGUUGAAAAGCUCGGGGAUGACUUGUGGGUAGCGGUGAAAUUCCAAUCGAGCCCGGAGAUAGCUGGUUCUCCCCGAAAUAGCUUUAGGGCUAGCCUCAAGGUGAGAGAUACGGAGGUAGAGCACUGAAUGUCCUAGGGGGUAUUGCACCUACCGAAGACUAUCAAACUCCGAAUGCCGUCAUCUUAUACUUGGGAGUCAGACUGUGGGUGAUAAGAUUCAUAGUCGAAAGGGCAACAGCCCAGAUCGUCAGCUAAGGUCCCUAAAUGUAAGUUAAGUGGUAAAGGAUGUGGGAUUGCACAGACAACCAGGAUGUUGGCUUAGAAGCAGCCACUCAUUCAAAGAGUGCGUAAUAGCUCACUGGUCGAGUGAUCCUGCGCCGAAGAUUUCCGGGGCUAAAACUUACUACCGAAGCUACGGCAUCAGUAAGGAUGGGUAGGGGAGCUUCCCAUACGGGUUGAAGCAUGACCGUAAGGACAUGUGGACAGUAUGGGAGUGAGAAUGUUGGCAUGAGUAGCGAGAUGUGGGUG